rnacentral:misc_RNA from 1 species
GGUAAGAAUGAUCGUCUCGUGCAAAUUCGCAGUUGUUUCAUCGUCUCCGCUGACCUUCAAUUUUGCCUCCUCUUUCCUUCCGACAGCUUUAUAAAUAUAUGCACAUGAGGCCUAUUUGGUCUCCAGAUUCAAAAGUAUAAGAGUUGAUCUCUUCUUGCGGAGGCCUUAACCAAGAAAUGGCUUCUAUUAACGUCCCUUCUUGCUCUUCAACAACUGCCAGAACAGCUCUCCCUUGUACCCAGGCAUGGAGAAACUUCAAAUUGUUCAAUGGAUUACAUGUAGUGAAUUCAUUUUCCACAAAUGGGUGCACAUUGAACGCCAAUUUCAUCUGCAUUAAUGGUACUAAAUCUCCCUUCAGUAUUAAGGGUGUUGGCAAAAUUCAAGCAGCAGUAGUAUCUGAUGAAGGUGACCUGUUGUCCUAUUCCAAUGGCAAUAAUGCUGCAGCAAAGAGGACUUUAAUUGAUAACAAACCAGUUGAAAUUAAAUUACAGCCUGAUGCAAUAGCAUUUGGAACCCUUGUAGCAGAUACUGCUACCAUCCUCAGUGGCUUCCCUAUCGAUAAUGAUGAGUUUGAUUUGGAUCGCCCCACAGAAGGUUUUUCCUCCAUACCUGAGGCCAUUGAGGAUAUUCGUCAAGGAAAGAUGGUAGUGGUUGUAGACGACGAAGACAGAGAAAAUGAAGGGGAUCUUAUCAUGGCAGCACAGUUGGCAACACCUGAAGCCAUGGCUUUUAUUGUGAAGCAUGGUACUGGAAUAGUUUGUGUGAGCAUGGCUGGUGAAUAUCUUGACAGGUUGCAACUCCCUUUAAUGGUUACCCAAAAUGAAAAUGAUGAAAAACUUUGCACUGCAUUCACAGUGACAGUGGACGCCAAACAUGGUACAACCACAGGGGUUUCAGCUCAUGACAGGGCAACAACCGUGUUAGCUUUGGCAAACAGAGAUUCAAAGCCUGAGGACUUCAACCGACCAGGCCAUAUUUUUCCAUUGAGGUACAGGGAGGGUGGCGUUUUGAAAAGAGCUGGACAUACAGAAGCUUCUGUUGAUCUUGCUGUUCUAGCUGGAUUGGACCCUGUUGGAGUUCUAUGUGAGAUUGUAGAUGAUGAUGGCUCCAUGGCUAGAUUGCCAAAGCUUCGUCAAUUUGCGCAGCAGGAGAAUUUAAAAAUUAUAUCUAUUGCUGAUUUAAUCAGGUAUAGGAGGAAGAGAGAGAAAUUAGUAGAUCGUUCUUCUGCUGCUCGGAUACCAACAAUGUGGGGUCCAUUUACAGCUUACUGUUAUAGGUCAAUAUUAGAUGGCAUUGAACAUAUUGCAAUGGUUAAGGUCAGAAAUGUUUAGAAUUUGAUACUAAAGCUAUUUCAAAUUCUUUUGGGAUCUUAUCCAAAAUUAUGGUAGAAUAUAAGUUGCUAGACUGCUCAUGUUUUCAGUUUAAAAUGAUUUAUAAGACCAGUAAGUCUGAAAAGAACACUGCUCCUAUGAGUCACAAAUGUCAUAAAUAAUCAUGUACAUUUACUGCCUAGUGGUCUUUCUUGUAAGGGCAUUUAGAUAUAGGACCUACCCUUGUGUUUUCAUCUAGAAAUCUGAUUUAUCCUCCUUUUCUUUUUCAACUUUCUGAACACUUACUCAAUUUAUGAGAAGAUUCUUUAUCCUCUUUAGGCAAUUAUUGUCCUUUCUUCUCAUAAUAAUUAUUUUAUUUGGUAAUGAGCUCACCUUUGAAUUAAGCUGGUCAUUUGUUUUUGGAACUUGUUUGUUUGUGUGCGGAAAAGAGAAUUUGUAAUUUACAGCCAUCUCAAACCCCCCACCACUCUUUCCUCCCCACCACAAGCCGCACACAACCCACAAUAAAUAUAUUUUGGGGGGAGGUGGGAUGGGGUAGUACUGAUGAUAUUUCUACCUUUUCUUUAUUCAAAUUUAUUUUUCUAAAAAAAGCAUCCUAUCCUAGGGCAUUUUAGGAAAAUGGAUAUCUUAUUAUUAGCAUUCCACACAAUCAUAUUGGCUGCAUUCAUUAACAACAAUUAUGACAUUGGACUAACUGUUAUGAUUAAUUCAAAAUAUGGGAUGGGAUGGGAUGGUAAUUUCUAGACAGUGUGAUCAUGACUUGUAAGAAUUGAAAUGUAAUCUACCUUUAAAAAUAGUGGGAAUACAAUUUUGUAAUUUUCAUUGAAAGAAAUUAAGUGUUGUCUUGUUGUUGUACAAUUCAAAUGCAAACAGGCAUCCAUUCUUAUUAUAUUCUGUUUAAAUUGGAAGGUUCUUACUUGUAAGCAACUUUGUUGUCCAAACAGGGUGAGAUUGGAGAUGGGCAGGAUAUUCUUGUGAGGGUACAUUCAGAGUGCCUCACAGGAGACAUAUUUGGUUCUGCCAGAUGCGACUGUGGGAACCAGCUGGCACUUGCAAUGCAGCAGAUUGAGGCUGCUGGCAGGGGUGUGCUGAUAUACCUCCGGGGGCAUGAAGGAAGAGGAAUUGGUUUGGGCCACAAG